UACGUAGGGCGCAAGCGUUAUCCGGAAUUAUUGGGCGUAAAGAGCUCGUAGGCGGUUUGUCGCGUCUGCCGUGAAAGUCCGGGGCUCAACUCCGGAUCUGCGGUGGGUACGGGCAGACUAGAGUGAUGUAGGGGAGACUGGAAUUCCUGGUGUAGCGGUGAAAUGCGCAGAUAUCAGGAGGAACACCGGUGGCGAAGGCGGGUCUCUGGGCCGAAACUGACGCUGAGGAGCGAAAGCGUGGGGAGCAAACAGGAUUAGA
rnacentral:rRNA from 1 species